UACGUAGGGUGCAAGCGUUUGUCCGGAAUUAUUGGGCGUAAAGAGCUCGUAGGCGGUUUGUCGCGUCUGCUGUGAAAACCCGAGGCUCAACCUCGGGCCUGCAGUGGGUACGGGCAGACUAGAGUGCGGUAGGGGAGAUUGGAAUUCCUGGUGUAGCGGUGGAAUGCGCAGAUAUCAGGAGGAACACCGAUGGCGAAGGCAGAUCUCUGGGCCGUAACUGACGCUGAGGAGCGAAAGCAUGGGGGAGCGAACAGG
rnacentral:rRNA from 1 species